UAGUUUUUUCCGGUAGUUCCAGAUCUUCUUGGUUUGUGAGUGAUUUGUAGAGGAAGGUGAUCUCAGGUUAGAAGUGCGGUAUGAAGUAGGAUCACGGUGGUACGAGACGUCCACGAAGCCGUUUCGAUGCAUUGUAUUUAGGAAAGAAGGGAUAGGAAGAACACACGUCUG